rnacentral:lncRNA from 1 species
GUGGUUGUGUAAUGUGGUGGUUCCAUGCGUUUCCUGGUUCUGUGUGUGGCUCUGUGGUUCUUUAUGUGGUUUUAUUGUUCUGUGUGUGGCUUCAUAGUUCUGUGUCUAGCUUCAUGGGUCUGUAUGUUGCUGCACAGCUGUGUGUGUGUGUGUGUGUGUGUGUGCACACCACCCAAUUUAGGCCACACAGGGACCCCAGAGGAAGAGGAUUACGUGGAUCCAGUUCACAGAUGGGGAAACUGAGGAGAAGCCGUCCGAGAUGCUCCUGGAGACCAGUGGUUCCUGUCGCCUUGCUUUGUGUUUCGUCCUUGCGUCCUCGCUGUCUCCAGAGGCUGAAUGUCUGAGAGCCGCUGGGGCCGGAGUGGGGCCGGAACGUGGGUCUCCUCCCUCGUCCCCACCUUGGCGUCACGGCUCCCCGUGGGCAGGGCCACAGGAGUCCAGGAGGACAGCCCCACCGGGGGUAGCCACGCGGAGGAAUGGGAGGCAGUGCCGACCUCCUCUUUUCUCCCAGGGCUGUGGGCACCCCCUGCACAUCCACCGCCCUUGGGGGGCCUCAGACUCCAGAGGGGCCAGGCCGGCCCCAGAGGGCACAUGCGUGCUCAGCGCGGUGUCCGGCCCUGCAGCCACCAGGGCUCUGCAGGGCGAGCUGCUCCCAGCUGCUCCCUGCUGUCUCUCCAGGACGUCACCCCUUGCUCCUGGGUCCCAAGCCUUCUGCCCCUGCACCGCUACCCAGAAGCCACACUCGGGAGCCAGAGCCACAGAGGACCUUCCUGGGUGCCAGGCACACAGCCCUCAGACCCCCGCUGGCCCGUGGGCUGCAGGUCCCCUGAUCUUCUUGGGUCCACUGCCCUCCCCCGGACCCUAUGGUGCUGCUUGCUGACUAGCCACUGGGAGCGCCCUGCCCCUUAGACAGCUGGCCUCAGGACUGAGAUGGGGCCUCAGGCAGCCAGCCCUGUCUCACCUUUGCCCCUGGAUGCUGGCUGUAGGCCCAAGACCCACACCUCCCAGGUGGGCCUUCUCUCUCCGCCAGGCCUCUGCGUGGCCCUGUCCUGUCCCCCUCUCUCCCUAUGGACCUGGGGCACGGCCUGGAGGCCAGUCUGGGGAGGCCUGGGGAGGAGGACGUGGGCAAGCAGAACAUGCAAGGUUUCUGUAUGGGAAGCCACCGGGUCCCUGGGUGGCCUGGGGCAGCAGCAGCCAGUGGCCAUCAGGGACUUGGGGACACAGGCUUUGUGAGCCAGAGCCAGAGUGUGGCCUUAGCCUGAAGGUGGGGAGCCAUUAAGUGGUUAAAACUGUUUUUCUGGUCAUAAAUGUGCACACUCUUGUCAACUUCAAAAAAGCAGAAAGAAG